UAUAAUGUGAAAGAAGCUGAAUGUAGCCACCGCUCCAAUCUCACUCUCAUUAUGGACUAAAAUAGUAUACUUAUUUGUAUUGAAAUUGUAGUCCAUCACAGGAGUGAGCUUGGAGCAGUGACUACUUUACACCACACA